CAUCACAAAACUGCCUAGGAAGAGGAAUGGAACAAGUAGCAAAGAAGUUAGGGGUGGCUCAUGAAGAGAUUCAAAGGCUCACUGAUGAACUACAAGUGAAGGAGAAGGAACAAUGUAAAUUAGAUUCUGCACUUAAGAAGGCUCAACUAGAAAUUGACAAAUUGAAGGAAAAUUUGGUAAAGCUGAAAGAAAAUGAUGCAGCUGACCUACAGAAAGCAAAGGAACAUAAUCAGAGACUGGAUGAGGAAAUUCUGGCUUUAAGAAAUAGGGUUCGAUCACUUGACUCAGAAAAAAAGGUGCUUGGUGAAAUGGUUGAAAGACUUAAAGGAGAGGUGUGUGAAUCUCAAGAGAAUAAGCAACUUGGAAACCACUCCCCUGGAAAAACUGUGGGUGGUGAACAGAGAGAACAGAUUGAGGCUUCCAUGUUAGAGCCUGAAUUAUCAGUAACAUAGGAAGAUAGAAGAGAAACCAGUACAAAAGAUCAAGAGACAAAGUACAAGAUUUGAAUGAGAUCCUGAAAAUGAGCCAAGAAAAAAAUGAAAUGUUUGAAAGUGAGUGGUCAAAAGAGAGAGAGAGAGAGAAGCAGUUGGCAUCUGAUCUUGACACUGCAGAGAAGGCCUUGAAAGUUGAAAGUGAGGUAUUACCAUUCAGGAAGCUGUUUUCUUCUUGUUGUAGUUCUAAUUUAGGGAUUUCAUGUUAUCAUUUUUAAAUAAAGUAUAACUGUAUGUCUCAGCUUGGGCUGCCAUAACCAAACACCACAGACUAGGUGGCUCAAAGAACAGAAUUUUAUUUUCUCACAGUUAUGGAGGAGGGGAAGUCCAAGAUCAAGGUGCCAGCCAAGUCAGUUCCUGGUGAGGGUUCUCUUCCUGGCUUGCAGAUGGCCACCUUCUUGCUGUGUCCUCACAUGACAGAGUGAGCAAGCUCUGGUGUCUCUUCCUCUACCUAUAAAGGCACUAACCCUAUUGGAUUAAGGCCCCACCCUUAUAUCCUCAUUUGACCUUUAUCACCUCCUUAUCAACCCUAUCUAUCUCCAAAUACAGUCCAUAUUGGGAAUUAGGGUUUCAACAAUAUGAAUAGGGAGGGAGAGCACAAUUCAGUCCAUAGCACUAUAGAAUACGUGUUUCUAUAAUAAUAAUGGGGUAGCUCUGUUGUUUCUCCAAGCUGAGUUCUAGCACUAAUCAAAGAGUCCUUUAUUUAGCAGACGUUUGAUUGUUGUAGUGUUCAUAGAGUCAUGGGCUUAUUGCUCGUUUUAACUUCUUGUCCUGCCAUCUUGGAAAGAUCUAUCAGGAGACAUAAUCAGCCUAUAUUAUGAAAAGAGACCUGGAAGUGAGUUCAUGGAAGUCUAAAUCAGUAAUUUAGAGGAUAGUGACACUCAAUCAGUUUGUAGUUUGCAGUGCCCCUAAUCUCAUCCUAAUGACCUACAGGAAUUUUCAGUGAAAUAAGAUAGGAAAUCAAUUAUCAUUUACCCUCUUCCUAUGGUUUUGGGAGGCCACCCUCUACCUUCUUGCCUUUUUGUCUAAGCCUUUCUAAUCAGCAUUUACCUCCCACUUUGACUUCAAGGCUUUGGGAAAAUACCAAGUAGCUCCUCUCCUAAAGUAAAUUUUAUGUAACCUAUUCCCUUCAUUGAGCACCACAGACUGACUCUCAACCCAAAGUCUUCCACCAGUCAAUCAGUGCACAUCCUGUGUCAUCAAUGUAAAAAUCUGAUAAAAAUCUGCAUUUAGGCUGGGCACGGUGGCUCACGCUUGUAAUCCCAGCACUUUGGGAGGCCAAGGUGGGCGGAUCACCUGAGGUCAGGAGUUCGAGACCAGCCUGACCAACAUGGAGAAACCCCAUCUCUCCCGAAAAUACAAAAUUAGCCAGGCGUGGUGGUGCAUGCCUAUAAUCCCAGGUACUUGGGAGGCUGAGGCAGGAGAAUCACUUGAACCCAGGAGGCAGAGAUUGCAGUGAGCUGAGAUCACGCCAUUGCACUCCAGCCUGGGCAACAAGAGCGAAACUCCAUCUCAAAAAAAAAAAAAAAA
rnacentral:sRNA from 1 species